ACGGGAGGCAGCAGUGGGGAAUAUUGCACAAUGGGGGAAACCCUGAUGCAGCGACGCCGCGUGAGCGAUGAAGUAUUUCGGUAUGUAAAGCUCUAUCAGCAGGGAAGAUAAUGACGGUACCUGACUAAGAAGCUCCGGCUAAAUACGUGCCAGCAGCCGCGGUAAUACGUAUGGAGCAAGCGUUAUCCGGAUUUACUGGGUGUAAAGGGAGCGUAGGCGGAAGGCUAAGUCUGAUGUGAAAACCCAGGGCCCAACCUUGGGACUGCAUUGGAAACUGGUUUUCUAGAGUGUCGGAGGGGUAAGUGGAAUUCCUAGUGUAGCGGUGAAAUGCGUAGAUAUUAGGAGGAACACCAGUGGCGAAGGCGGCUUACUGGACGACAACUGACGCUGAGGCUCGAAAGCGUGGGGAGCAAACAGGAUUAGAUACCCUGGUA
rnacentral:rRNA from 1 species